AUGAGCGGCGGCGUCCUUCUCGCGCUCACGCUUGAGCGCGGCAAGCUCCUCGCCGCUCGCCUUGAGAUCGGCCUCCAGCUGCGCCAUCUUCGUCUCCAGCUCCUUCUUGGCGGCCUCGGCAGCUGCGGUAGCAUCCUUUGCUUCCUUGAGAGCCCCGCCAAUUGCUUGCUCGCGCGCGGCAAGCUCCUCCUCGUGGCUGUCAACGUUGACCUUGCACUGCACCAACUCGCCUUCUUGCGCAGAUAG
rnacentral:rRNA from 1 species